GGGCAGGUAGUCUAGCACGGUAUGAUUCUUGGUUCGGGAUCAAGGGGUCGCGAGUUCGAAUCUCGUCCUGCCCACCA
rnacentral:tRNA from 1 species